GUCUAUAGCCAUGCUACCCUGAACAAGCCCGAUCCCAUCUGAUUUCGGAAGCUAAGCAGGGUCGGGCCUGGUUUGUACUUGGAUGGGAGACCAACUAGGAAGAUGAGGUGCUAUAGGCA
rnacentral:rRNA from 1 species